ACUAGAGCUGUAAGGAGACGGGAUCAUUCUGCAUAAGCUAUCUGCUGGGAGCUUCCACGGCAGUCAUCUCAUAAUGUAAUUAAGCUUCCACCCCAAGUUGUGGUGAGAGGGAAUUCUCUGAUGAAAGUAAGUCACAUGACAUGAUGUUUCAAAUCUGGAAUAGCAAAGUACAAGCUCAAGGGGAGGGCACAAGUAAACGCACCGGGGAGUCAAAAGAAGGUAAACUAUUCCUGCCAUUUGUUCCUGACCUGAAUACGAUUUAAGAGCUGAACUUUUCUAGUGUAUGUUUCAGUUAAUUGGCUUCAUUUCUUUAACCCACUUCUCAAGCUUAUCUUAGACUGCAUUCUUCUUAAUGUCUCUUUCUAAGUCUCCUAGGCUACAUAGUCUUUUUCAAAUUCCAUCUUGCAUAUGUUCUGAUUUUGUAAUAGAAUUAUCAGGCCUGAAAUUUUUAUUCAAAUAGUCAGAAUUUGCACUAACAAAAACUAAAGUUUCUUAAAUUCUGGGACAGAAUGGAGGGACUUCCCUCCAGAAAUUACAGUUGAGUACCUUAGCUAUAUCUCGGAUGUUUUUGUGACUUCUUCUCUAUUUUGUUAAGAUGACGAACUUUUUCCUUUUCCAAUAUGAGAUGUAGAGUCGUACUGGAACAGAGAAUCUUAAGAAUCAGGAUACUAUACUCGACAUCACUUCUGGCGUAUUGCAUUUUGUUGGUGAUUCAUUUUUUUAAUCUUUUUUUCAAGCCCAAAAGUUGCCAGCUCAAGUAAGUUAAAAUAAUAAUAAUUAUUAAAAAAAAAGACAACAACAAAAAUCUCCUAUUCAGAUGGAUCUAGAAAAGGAAAGUAUUUAUUGUCUACAAAUGCAGUAUGUGCUUACACAAAAGGGUUCCCCUGUUCUCCUCCCUCAAAGAUGCCUACUCCCAUGGUUGAUCAAACCUGUGGCACCGUCAUUUUCUUGUUUUUGGAGCUUAAUCGGUUCGGGUAAGUGUCUUAGUGUCUUCUUCUUUGAUUUUUGGACAUUUUGACUUCUUUUUUUAUGAUUACGGUCCAUCCUUUACAUUGUACCUAAGUACAAGAUAUGAAAAUGAGUUGAAAUCAAGGUCCUCUGGUCUCUCAUUCAGAAGUGUACCCCGUGUGUGAAUUGAAAUUUCCAGUGGCUUCAAAAAUGUGUUACCAGAUGUAUAACUUAUUUUGCCUCCUUCCAACUGAGCAUUUUCGAUUUGAAAAACUUGGUUCCACCCUUGUGUAUUAACAUGUUUCUGGUUUGUAUAAAAAUUGUCUCUCCAGUAUGCUAUUUGUCUUCAUAUACAAGUUUUCAAGUAAUGAUUUCAUAUUACCACAAUUUUUCUGCUUUUGCUUGUUGUAAAUUGGACCGUAGUGAACUCGUGGAUCCUGCUGAUAUUCCUCCUGUGAAACUUGUGUGAAUUCUCUGCUAUGUUAGUAAUCUGAAAUUUUGAAUUCCUUCAUUGAGUAUUCACUUAUCAUGAUGUUGGCUAAUGGCUAAAAAAGGUCUUUAUCAAAUGAUAAAAGAAAAUUCCCCUUACCUAAUGUUGUGUUGCUGUGAAGUCCUUUUAGUUUUUAUCCUUAAGUUUGGCACUAGUUUUUUUUCUAGGUUUAGAAUUUUCCUGGCUGGGGGGUGGGGGGUAGUUUGGUGAAAGUGGAAGAAUUCAAUCUCCCUUCCUUAUCCAAAGCUAGAUAAGCCAUGUAAUCCGCCAGUGUAUUCCUUUACCUAUAAACAUGCUGGAUCGUAACUUGACAUUGAAGUGCUAGAGCCUUGAUAUCACUUACCAGAAUAGCAAUCUGCCAAGGCACUUCCUGAUAACAUUGAUAAAAACUGCCUGGAGGGUGCCAAAGUUCUCCAACAGGUCGAUAAGAAGUUUCUUUACGAUUUUGGCAAACAAAUCACAUGCUAUAAUUGAUCAGGUCUAUUCUGUCCUCUGCAUAGUCCAUUAUGACAAUUCUUUGUAUCUCAUGAAUUUCUUAUAACACAUUUACUUUAAACGCUUAUUUCUCUUAGGGAUUGUUUGUUGGACUCAAUAGCAAAUAUAAAUUUUAGCGUGAACUUCUGCAUAAAUAGUACAACAUUUGUUGGCUGCAUAAGAAAAAGUAAUAUUCGCAUAACUAUGCAGCAGUUAGUUAGACGCAUAUGAAUUUUUUUUUUUUGACAUAACUAUUGCAACAUUCGGACGGGGGUAUUUAACUGUCAUUAUUAAUAUCCUCAUGAUUUAUGCAAGAAUCUACGCCAGUAUAGGAGGACUUGAUUCAUGUGAUGUCUAUAGUUCAGAUCCUUCUAAAUUCUAUUAUGAUGGUGAUGAUUUGACACAUAAGCAUUCUCAUGGUGAAGAGAAUCCUUAGAAUUUUUUGAUACCACGAGCUAUGCUCUCCUCUCGGGCGGAUGGGUACUCGCAUAAAUUGAUUGAUGCUGAAAUUCGAGGGUAAAUAGAUGUGCUUAUAAGGAAGAAGAAGAAGAGUAGAAGAAGUCAUUCAGCUCCUACCUUUUACCAAGGCAGAGGAAUGCAGAUCAAUCUAGCAGGCCACCUAAUUUUUGGAUGAAGCAUAAUUCAUGGGAUUGAUUCCUGAUGUUGCCAUUCUUUUUGUUUAUUUAUUUAUUUUCAUAGGUGCAAUUAUGUUUGGAGCUGCAUUAUUACUUUCAUAAUGUUCUCUCAUGUUGAGGAGUUGAAGGAAACUUCAUUGUGUUCUCAGAAUUGCAUUUCGGGAAAUAUCUGUGUUGGAACUGUAUUUGAUGGUAUGUUUAAGAGAGAAAUUCCAUAUUAUUAAUGACUGCAAUAUAUUUUCAUUUGUUAGUGUGCAAUUGCACUCAACAUUAUUGUGCAACAUCACUUGAUGGCUGUCUUGCUAAUUGCAUAGUCGAUGUGAACUGGAAAUCCAAAAAUUCUGCACAUCUAGUUUACCUACAGAAGAUGAUUUCCUGGACAACAAAUUCAGGGCUUCAGCUGGAUCCAGUUAUAAAUCAGACUGCCUGUCAGGUUCAGGUGGGAUGAUGAGUCAUUUAGGGCAAAAUAAAUUAAGGUGUUCAUGUACAUCACAAUCCUGGUGCUUAGGUACCUCUAGCCCAACUUAUGUUCUUUUGAAUUUUAGUUCGUAGUAUCCAUUAGGAUAGGUAUUAAACUACUAACUUGGUCUUUGUUCUUGCCAUUGUUUGUAGGAUGGCAAGAGUUUGUACCUUCGUAUUGAUGAUUGUUGCCAAAAUAUUUGUACAACAGGUGAUGAUGUUUAUAUGUGAGUUGACUACUGUUUGCUAAUAAAGGAUUUCUUGGGAUUUUUCUCUUUGCAGUCAUUGUUCGUGAUGUCUUUUACAACCAGCAGUUUGAAGGAAGCAAAUGCACUUCAACUCAAAGAGGGUCUUGCAUUCUCUGAAAGAGUCUCUGUUGAGAAUUGCCCUUGUGUAUCCCAGUGUCUCCUUCAAAAGUGUUGACAUUGAAAGUGAGGAUGAUCUGCUUUGCACACGUGCUUCUCCUUCUCUUUCUCCAUUGCCGCUAUAGUCUGGUGGGUUCAGGAUUCGUCUGAGUUUCCUUAUCAAAUUUAAUGCAAACGAUGGUUCAUUUUAGCUCUCAGGAUACAUCUCAGGUCAAUGUGUAGUCAACGUUUACACAGUGAAGGUCCUUCUAUAUUUCUGAUCCACUUAUUUCCGUAUAUUUUCUGGACAAAGAAAACGGAAACCUAAUGUUUGUUUGAACUUAGUCUCCUAGUUUUUACUUAUCAAUCAUUCCUGAACUGAUAAGAGCAUGGGGAGUCAAUAGAUGUACACGAGACGGGGAGUCAAAAGAAGAAUUUGCACCAACAAAAUCUCAAAGUUUCUUUGUUUAUGGGACAAAUGGAGGGACUUCCGUCUUGAUAUUAUAAUGCAGAGUGGUACUGGACAUAGAAUCUGAAGAAUCUAGGAUACUAUACUCAAUCUCACCCUGGUGUCUCGCAUUUUAUUGAUGUUCCAUUGGUUCCUGAUACCACUGAUAAAUGCUGUCUUGGAGGGUGCCAAAGUUCUCCAACAGUUUGAUAAGAAGUUAAUUCCGAUUGUGUCAAACACAACGCUUGCUAUAAUUGAUCAGGUCUAUUCUGGCCUUUGCAUAGUCCAAUAUGGCCAUACUCGGUUUCUCAUGAAUUUCCUUAUAAUACAUUGUAGUCUAUAGUAUUGCAUGGACUACUUUAACUAUGGUUUCGUAUGCUUCAUGUACAUCAGCAACAUCAAAAUACAACAUCAAAAUACAGCCAUUCCGAUAAUAUGCAUGCUUUCCCAGUAAACUUUGGCCUUAAAGGAGAGGCUCUGAGCUCUACUUCUGACGUUGCUUUGUUUGGAAGGUGUUGCUAAAACUCAGGGGAGGCCAAAUGAACAUAGUAAGGUUUUGAAGGUACAGUCCUUUUGAGUUUUAGUUGGUAGUAUCCACUAGGAUAUGUAUAAAACUACUAACUUGGUCUUUGUUCGUGCCACGGGCAAGUGUUUGUUCCUUGGAAUUGCUGAUUGAUGUUGGUACAACAGGUAAUUCUAUACAAGCCUGGUUGACUGCUGUUUGCUAAUAAGGAAAUUUUGGAACCUUUUUUUUCAGUCAUUGUUCAUGAUGUAUUUUACACACAAUCAGUUCGAACUUCAAAGGAAACAAAUAUACUCCAAGUACUUCUAGCUUUCUCACAAUCCAAACAAACAAAAAAUAUUGAUUUACUUUGCUUCUUCAGCUGUACUUUGUCAUUGUUUGCAUAUAUAAUCCGGAAGCCCAAAGAGGGUCUUGCAUUCCCUGAAAGAGACUCUGCUAAGAUUUGCCCUAGUGCAUCCCAGUGUCCCCUACAAAAUUGUUGAUAUUGAUAGGUCUGUUUCUGUUAGAGAUAUUCCAGCUAACUUAAAGGAUAUUUCCUGUCUGGUAUCUUAGAUUUUGUUCAUUAGCAUGCCGUGAGGAUGACCUGCUUUGCAUGCAUGCUUCUCCUUUUCCCCAUUGCCACUAUUGUCCAGUGGGUUUGGGGUUCACCGUUCAUCUGAGUUCCCUUUAUAAAUUGAAUGCAAGCAAUGGUUCAUUCGGACUCUUAGGAUACAUCUCAGGUCCUUAUGUUUACACUGAGGCCCAAAUCGAUGGAUAAGAGGUGGAUAAGUUAUCUUUAAACAGUAUGUUUCCCUAACAGCCACGUUCAAUUUGCAGGUCAUUCAAUAUUUCUGGGGUACUUCAGUAUAUUUUCCUGACCAAAGAAAAAGGGAAACCUAAUCUUUGGUUAACAUUUUCUAUAUCUUAUGCUUGUUUUUUAAGGUAUUCCUAUUUUCCUUGACCCUUGUAAUGCAGAUAUCAAUUCCAAAGGACCAUACAUAAAUUACUUGAUUACAUAGCUAUGAGUUUUGACGGUGCUUUUGACAUUGAGAAGCAAAGUAGAUCUCGGAUAUAUCCACUUUUUUGUUGAACCGCAACUGCCCAAGAUCUUUGUAUGAUUCGACUUUGGAGCCUUCAAAGACCUCUGUGGUAUUUAAGCAACUUGAGCAGUAUGGAGACUACAUCAUUCUGCAGAAGCUAUCUGCUCGGAGCUUAUACAGUUGUCAUCCCAACAGUGUGAUCCGUAUACUUCAGCUAGAACAAUUAUUUCCUAAUUUGCAGAUAGAUGACUUCAUGAACUAGACUAAUCUACAAUAUAAAAAAUCAUCCUUUUAGUUUUAACAGUUAUACAACUGACAUUAAUUUAAAUCCUGGCCAUCUAAAGUGUUGGUGUUGGAUAUUUGAUGCGUACUCUUUGAUUUAAUACCAAAUCGAGUAAGGAAUUUUCCAUUUAUAUGGUUUUUUUUACUUUCUAAUAUAUAGUUAUUGCCUAUUGGAACAAGAAAUCAUCAAAUGGAAAAUAUUAGAAAAACAGUAGUAAAAGUGAGGGCAUCGAAAGGCAAUAGGCAAACAAAUUGCAGCUAACAUGCCUACUCCAGCUAAGGUUAGAACAUGUAGUUACUGCUCCAGCCAAGGUUUUGGAUUAUAUCAUGUUGAUGUCUUAAGGUAAAAUACAAGAAAAAAUUUGAAAAAGUGAGUUACAUGUCCAAUGUUUAAGGUAGUUUAUAUCUGAGCUGAGAUCUAUAUACCUGAUUUCAUUAUACAAGCAAUAAAUAAAUAAAGGCUGCUAGUGUGGUUACUGUUAGUCUGAAAUGUAACCUGUGUUCCUUGCAAGAUAUUAUUUGGUAGAACUUCCUUCCUAAAUUUAUUAACUUGGUUAUUGCUGUUCUGUGUGUAUUCCAAAGUGAGUUUCCAAUUUUUCCAGUUUUCUUUGUUUGAAUGUCAUUUUCACUAAAAUGUGACGACAUCUCGUUUUGCUAUCUAGGUGUUGAAUGUGGAACUGGAUCUUUGGUUAUGGGCUUUUGGCAUAUGCUCAUCUCUUCAACACCACCGGACACUAUCUAUCUAUUAUUGACUAUAAAAAUUAAGCUCCAUUUCCAUUGCAGUCUUGCAUUCAAAUGAUGGUUCUGGUUUUGGGAUUUUCACAUUUACAUGUCUAGGCGAAAUAUUACAGAAACUAUACAGGAUUAUUUUCUCCUCCUAGUGGUGGAUUUACUUUCUUUAAGGAGUGCAGAGGUUGAAUAUCAGUUAUUUAACCUCUUUCAAUCUCAUUGAAUUUCUAAUUUGGUUUGGAUUGACAGAACAUGUAACUUUUAGGGAAUGACAAAGUUGUCAGUUCCUGAAACAAUUGCAAACCAAUCAUACCUUGCCAAGAAUGCACCCUUUUGUUGAAGAGCUUCGUGAAGCGGAGAUGGAAUUGGGGAGAGAUCAAAUAGCCCUAGCUAGAUUCUCAAGCUUGGAUUCACCCGAAAAGGUCGAAAAGCCCUUCUUUAAGCUUUCUUAUUCGCUUUUUAGCGCAUAACUUACUCUCUCACUUAUAUUCAAGAUACAUGGUAUUUGUUCAAAGUUCAUGAUAAGUUAGAAUAUGGUUAGGAUUUUUCCACCAAUUGGACUAUCUGCCUUUUGGUGUCCUAUCAACACAGUUACUUCCAAAGAGGCAAAAUCAGUACAAAUGUUGGUUAACAGGUAAAAGCUACCAUAAUCCCUCUGCAAGCAAACAUUAGCCACUCAUCAGGGAGUAACGGGAAAAGUUUUAUCGUGUUAUCUAGAUUAAAUUCUAGUGUGAUGACUUGAUUUAACCUUUGAUUUAUCUUUAGUGAUUUAACAGAGAUACAUCAGUUGCAUUCACCAAGAAACAGUGCAAAAAGAAGUGUUAUUUUUCACAAGUAUCAUCAUUUUGAGGACAGAAAUAAUGGUCCUAAAGCUAAUCCUGGACCUAAUUGCCUUUUGUAGAGGACCCACAAAUCAAAAUCUUUAGGAUUUGCCAAUAUCUUUUGAUGGCUUCACUUCACUGCAAGUGCUUGGUUUUUUGUCUGCCCACAAGGAUGAUGGUCCCUCAACGGCUGAACGUAGUCUUGUGGUACUCAUCUCUGAGAAUACUUUUCUACAUAUCACAUAUGUGGUUGCAAUGUCUUCAAUCAAGAAAGGAAAUGACUUCACUCAUGUUCCGUAGUUUGAUUGGGACAUCUUCACUUGAAAAAUGUUACUCAAGGUACUUUCUAUCCUGGUGGUAGCCAGUGUGAGAAGUGUUCCCCUCGUAUCAAUUAGGUGAACUUCAUACAAAAUCCUUGGUACUUACUAUAUUUGAAUGCAGAUGCACGAAUCACACUAGUCAUAUUGUGCACUCAGGCCACUAGCCAGUGCUGAAGUUGAACUUUAGUGAUUCCUGUUUGUGUAGAUUAUAUCUAUCCAUUUGACAUUAACUGUUUGAAGAAGUUGCAACAGUGUCCAGCAACUGGGGAUCAUUCCAAAAAUAGGUGAUUCCAUGAACUGGGAGAUUGCUAUUUGAUAUGCUUGAUGUCAAUCUGCAUCAUCUUUUGGCCAAGGAGAAAAAUUAUUUAAGUAGAAUUAACCUAUAACUUCUCACCCAACUGCUUGAACUAAAAAUAGUACGUGCCAUAUAUGUAUAAUAUGUACUACCUCCGUUCAUGUUUAAUUGUCAUGAUUUCUA